rnacentral:rRNA from 1 species
GACGAACGCUGGCGGCGUGCCUAAUACAUGCAAGUCGAACGCUGUUGCGAACGGGUGAGUAACGCGUAGGUAACUGCCUCAUAGCGGGGGAUAACUAUUGGUAACGCUAGCUAAUACCUCAUACUGUGAGAUGGACCUGCGGUGUAUUAGCCAGUUGGUGAGGUAAAGGCUCACCAAGGCGACGAUACAUAGCCGAACUGGGAGGGGGAUCGGCCACACUGGGACUGAGACACGGCCCAGAAUCCUACGGGAGGGAGCAGGAGGGAAACUUCGGCAAUGGGCGGAAGGCUGACCGGGCAACGGCGCGGGAGGGGAGAAGGGUUUCGGGUCGUAAAGCUCUGUUGUUAGGGAAACGGUAACUAACCAGAAAGGGACGGCUAACUACGUGCCAGCCGCCGCGGUAAUUC